rnacentral:rRNA from 1 species
AGAGUUUGAUCCUGGCUCAGAUUGAACGCUGGCGGCAGCCAAACACAUGCAAGUCGAACGGCAGCAUGACCUAGCUUGCUAGGUUGAUGGCGAGUGGCGGACGGGUGAGUAAUGCAUCGGGACCUGCCCAGACGUGGGGGAUAACGUAGGGAAACUUACGCUAAUACCGCAUACGUCCUACGGGAGAAAGCGGGGGAUCUUCGGACCUCGCGCGGUUGGAUGGACCGAUGUUCGAUUAGCUUGUUGGCGGGGUAAUGGCCCACCAAGGCGACGAUCGAUAGCUGGUCUGAGAGGAUGAUCAGCCACACUGGGACUGAGACACGGCCCAGACUCCUACGGGAGGCAGCAGUGGGGAAUAUUGGACAAUGGGCGCAAGCCUGAUCCAGCAAUGCCGCGUGUGUGAAGAAGGCCUUCGGGUUGUAAAGCACUUUUAUCAGGAACGAAAUACCACGGGUUAAUACCCUAUGGGGCUGACGGUACCUGAGGAAUAAGCACCGGCUAACUUCGUGCCAGCAGCCGCGGUAAUACGAAGGGUGCAAGCGUUAAUCGGAAUUACUGGGCGUAAAGCGUGCGUAGGCGGUUUGUUAAGUCUGUUGUGAAAUCCCCGGGCUCAACCUGGGAAUGGCAAUGGAUACUGGCAAGCUAGAGUGUGUCA